GUUCAAGUCAUUCAGGGGCUGUAAACCAACAGAGAGGAAUAAGACUGCUAAGUUUCUUCUGAAUUGAAGAAAGGGAUCACACCAGAGUCCUUCAAGCUGGAACAAAUAUACUGUCCACUGAGAGCUGCUGAGUAGCAGAAGCAGCAUGGAGAGAGUCAUCAUGAAUGCAUUCAUCAAAGGAGAUGGUCUGUCGCCACUGAUAGGCACCAGUGUACGUGGAAGCAACCCCAUCCCUUUCUGGCUCUGUCACUGUGUACUCUCUGGUGGACGAUGAAGUGAUCACAGAACUAGAGGCGUGAUAGAGUUCAGUGUAAGGUUCAAUAUGGACUGAUGCGCCAGAAGGGACCUCAGGUACUCUGCCUUCCAUUUCUGUGCUGAUGGUAAGAUGACCGUGCUCAUCAAUUCCACUGAACUUCUGCUUUAUAACCAGCUUCUCGUUGUUGCCAAGAAAAGUGACUUCAGUUUGCCGUGUAAACUCCCCA
rnacentral:lncRNA from 1 species